AAAAGAAAAAGGGGUGAAAAGAACAAAGUUUUGUCCAUCUUUGUUCAUCAUAGCCUAAAGUUAGAGAAGAGAAAGGAGAGGAGAAAGCUCUUGAAUGUUCGGUCACUUGGGGAAGAAAAUUGAAGGAAAUCCCCAACCAUAGUGGGCUUGGAGCUGUGAGGGAAUUCGGAGUGGCCACCCAUUCUGAAAGUUUGAUUUUCUUCUGGUGAACUGGACAUCCUUUUAUUUACGUUUGAAGUUUUGGGUUUUUAAAUGUAAUAAGGCCGCUUAAUUAUUUUUAAUGGUUUUAAUAUGUAUUACUAAGAUAGGUAUUACUUA